GGGAAUUUUCCGCAAUGGGCGAAAGCCUGACGGAGCAAUACCGCGUGAGGGAAGACUGCCUAUGGGUUGUAAACCUCUUUUUUCAGGGAGGAAUCAAUGACGUGUACCUGAAGAAUAAGCAUCGGCUAACUCCGUGCCAGCAGCCGCGGUAAGACGGAGGAUGCAAGUGUUAUCCGGAAUCACUGGGCGUAAAGCGUCUGUAGGUGGUUAAACAAGUCAACUGUUAAAUCUUGAGGCUCAACUUCAAAAUCGCAGUCGAAACUGUUUGACUAGAGUAUAGUAGGGGUAAAGGGAAUUUCCAGUGGAGCGGUGAAAUGCGUAGAUAUUGGAAAGAACACCGAUGGCGAAGGCACUUUACUGGGCUAUUACUGACACUCAGAGACGAAAGCUAGGGUAGCAAAUGGGAUUAGAUACCCCAGUAGUCA
rnacentral:rRNA from 1 species